CCUCCAACCCUACGGGACCAUUCAGAAGACGUCACGACAAGGCUAUACCUACUUUAUUCUAUGUAUAAAAAUGAAUGUAACCUCUGUAUAAGUUCUCUUUUUCACCUGACCCCUCAUCGGGUUAUAUGAACUAGAUCCGUGCACGAUGUAGAACAAGAUAUCUUUGACCAAUAAACGGCCUUUUUGAUACACCUGAUUCCACUCUGUCCAGCGUCGUUGAUCUGCAUUCCCUCUCCAGUAUGAAACACUAACAAAACUACUUCGGGCAAAUAUAAAACAGUGAGCUCGAGAGAAUUCGGUCUGGUAGUAACCAGGCUAUUACUGAUGAACUCCGGUGGAUCCUCGAUCGAGGGAACUCCCGCUUCAUACCUGAACUGAAGACCUGCUGGAGGACCAGACACAGAUUUAUGGAGUGCUCAAAAAGGUGUUGAAUCCACCGCUGCUGGACAAAGUGAAGCACUCAAUUGCCGUGAUGAAGGUUUUACCAGACAUGUUCCCAUCACCUGUGGCUUUACCAAAGAAGUUAGGACACGCAAGUGAGGCUAUGCUUCACAUCCUCGAGUCUGCAGAACACCUUUCUUCACGCGAGACCACUCUUCAGCCCUGUCGUGAUUGUCUGCGAAACCAACUUCGUACUGGCCAUUGGAACCAAGCCUGUGGUGACCUUCCCAAAAGAGAACAUCUAUGCCAGCGUGACGUAUCUCAAAACAGAAGUCCUCUCAGGCGUCAUUCACGACCGGGACAGGACUUCUUCAUAGAAAAAGGCUAUGGCCGAGUGGAAAAAGUUCAUUACUGACUCGGGUUGUACAGUACAAUUUUGACAUUUCCGGUCCCGAUAACAGAGCCUUGUGUAUUGGCCCAUCCGAGAACCGAUCCGAUAACCUUUAAUAAGUAGGCAGGGUGUUUGUUGUUUAUUGUAAGAAGGUUUAAAACACUGUUAUGUUUGUUAUCUCCCCAUUGGUCUUACAUUUUCACCUUGACCACCAAUGGCCUUUGUUGUGGUUUAUGCAUCCUUUGUUCUGCCAGUAUCAGCCUCUGGAUAUACUGAGUCCUCA